rnacentral:rRNA from 1 species
AGCGAACGUUAGCGGCGCGCCUAACACAUGCAAGUCGCACGAGAAAGGGAGCAAUCCCCGGUACAGUGGCGCACGGGUGAGUAACACGUAGAUGACCUUCCCUGGAGUGGUGGAUAACCUGCCGAAAGGCGGGCUAAUACAGCAUGGGACCACAUGGUUUUGACCGAGUGGUGAAAGCGGGCCUCUGUUCACAAGCUCGCGCUCUGGGAUGGGUCUGCGUCCCAUCAGCUAGUUGGUGAGGUAAUGGCUCACCAAGGCAUCGACGGGUAGCUGGUCUGAGAGGAUGACCAGCCACGCUGGAACUGAGACACGGUCCAGACUCCUACGGGAGGCAGCAGUGGGGAAUCUUGCGCAAUGGGCGAAAGCCUGACGCAGCGACGCCGCGUGGGUGAUGAAGGCCUCGGUUGUAAG